UAUCAUCUUCAGGUGGGGUGAAAAGAUAUGCUCUUAAAGUUAUGGUACCCGAAGCUAAUACUGGAAGAAUCUUGGUGAUUGUAUGGAAGAAAAAAAAAAUAACCGGUUAAGAUGAAUAGCAGUUGGUAUCUUGAUAAUGAAUUUGAAAUGCAAUUUGUCCUGUAAAAUGAAAAAAACCAGCAGAAAUACGAGUAGAAUAAGUUUGUAUGUGUACAGGAUAAAGUGAAUAAAUAAAAAGAUGAGUUUGAGAAGAA